rnacentral:rRNA from 1 species
ACGCUCGACACCUACGGAGGCAGCAGUGGGGAAUAUUGCACAAUGGAGGAAACUCUGAUGCAGCGACGCCGCGUGAGCGAAGAAGUAUUUCGGUAUGUAAAGCUCUAUCAGCAGGGAAGAAAAAGGACGGUACCUGACUAAGAAGCUCCGGCUAAAUACGUGCCGCAGCCGCGGUAAUCUGAGCGGGCUGGCAAGGC